AUUGAACGCUGGCGGCAUGCUUUACACAUGCAAGUCGAACGGCAGCACGGACUUCGGUCUGGUGGCGAGUGGCGAACGGGUGAGUAAUACAUCGGAACGUGCCCAGUUGUGGGGGAUAACUACUCGAAAGAGUAGCUAAUACCGCAUGAGAACUGAGGUUGAAAGCAGGGGAUCGUAAGACCUUGCGCAACUGGAGCGGCCGAUGGCAGAUUAGGUAGUUGGUGGGAUAAAAGCUUACCAAGCCGACGAUCUGUGGCUGGUCUGAGAGGACGACCAGCCACACUGGGACUGAGACACGGCCCAGACUCCUACGGGAGGCAGCAGUGGGGAAUUUUGGACAAUGGGCGAAAGCCUGAUCCAGCAAUGCCGCGUGCAGGAUGAAGGCCUUCGGGUUGUAAACUGCCUUUGUACGGAACGAAAAGCUUCGGGCUAAUACCCUGGAGUCAUGACGGUACCGUAAGAAUAAGCACCGGCUAACUACGUGCCAGCCGCCGCUGUAAAAC
rnacentral:rRNA from 1 species